rnacentral:rRNA from 1 species
AUUGAACGCUGGCGGCAGGCCUAACACAUGCAAGUCGAACGGUAACAGGAAGAAGCUUGCUUCUUUGCUGACGAGUGGCGGACGGGUGAGUAAUGUCUGGGAAACUGCCUGAUGGAGGGGGAUAACUACUGGAAACGGUAGCUAAUACCGCAUAACGUCGCAAGACCAAAGAGGGGGACCUUCGGGCCUCUUGCCAUCGGAUGUGCCCAGAUGGGAUUAGCUAGUAGGUGGGGUAACGGCUCACCUAGGCGACGAUCCCUAGCUGGUCUGAGAGGAUGACCAGCCACACUGGAACUGAGACACGGUCCAGACGCCUACGGGAGGCAGCAGUGGGGAAUAUUGCACAAUGGGCGCAAGCCUGAUGCAGCCAUGCCGCGUGUAUGAAGAAGGCCUUCGGGUUGUAAAGUACUUUCAGCGGGGAGGAAGGGAGUAAAGUUAAUACCCUUGCUCAUUGACGUUACCCGCAGAAGAAGCACCGGCUAACUCCGU